rnacentral:rRNA from 1 species
AUACGUAGGGGGCGAGCGUUGUCCGGAAUGAUUGGGCGUAAAGGGCGCGUAGGCGGCCUGUUAAGUCUGGAGUGAAAGUCCUGUUUUCAAGAUGGGAAUUGCUUUGGAUACUGAUGGGCUUGAGUGCAGGAGAGGUUAUCGGAAUUCCCGGUGUAGCGGUGAAAUGCGUAGAGAUCGGGAGGAACACCAGUGGCGAAGGCGGGUAACUGGACUGCAACUGACGCUGAGGCGCGAAAGUGUGGGGAGCAAACAGGAUAGAUACCCUGGUAGUCCACACUGUAAACGAUGAAUGCUAGGUGUAAGAGGUAUCGACCCCUUUUGUGCCGGAGUUAACACAAUAAGCAUUCCGCCUGGGGAGUACGGCCGCAAGGUUGAAACUCAAAGGAAUUGACGGGG